UACGGGGGGGGCAAGCGUUGUUCGGAAUUACUGGGCGUAAAGGGUUCGUAGGUGGCCGACUAAGUCAGACGUGAAAUCCCUCAGCUCAACUGGGGAACUGCGUCUGAUACUGGUUGGCUUGAGUGCAGGAGAGGAACGCGGAAUUCCAGGUGUAGCGGUGAAAUGCGUAGAUAUCUGGAGGAACACCGGUGGCGAAGGCGGCAUUCUGGACCGACAUUGACGCUGAGGAGCGAAAGCCAGGGGAGCAAACGGG
rnacentral:rRNA from 1 species